ACGGAGAGUUUGAUUCUGGCUCAGAACGAACGCUGGCGGCGUGGAUAAGACAUGCAAGUCGAGCGGGAACCAGUUGGUAGCAAUACUGGCUGGUUCUAGCGGCGAAAGGGUGAGUAACACGUGGGUAAUUUGCCGUGAAGAGGGGGAUAACUCCGAGAAAUCGGAGCUAAUACUCCAUGUGGUCGCACCGGGGCAUCCCGGAGCGACUAAAGCUGGGGACCGCAAGGCCUGGCGCUUCACGAUAAGCCCGCGUCCUAUCAGCUAGUUGGUGAGGUAACGGCUCACCAAGGCUAAGACGGGUAGCCGGUCUGAGAGGAUGGUCGGCCACACUGGGACUGAGACACGGCCCAGACACCUACGGGUGGCAGCAGUCGAGAAUCUUUCACAAUGGGCGAAAGCCUGAUGGAGCGACGCCGCGUGGGGGAUGAAGGUCUUCGGAUUGUAAACCCCUGUCAGUCGUGACCAAACCUUGGCGUUGAAUAGGCGCCAAGCUGAUGGUAGCGGCAGAGGAAGGGACGGCUAACUCUGUGCCAGCAGCCGCGGUAAUACAGAGGUCCCGAGCGUUGUUCGGAUUCACUGGGCGUAAAGGGUGCGUAGGCGGUCGGGUAAGUCUGACGUGAAAUCCCGAGGCUCAACCUCGGAAUGGCGUCGGAAACUGCCCGGCUGGAGGG
rnacentral:rRNA from 1 species